rnacentral:rRNA from 1 species
AUUACUAAGCGGAGGAAAAGAAACUAACGAGGAUUCCCUCAGUAACGGCGAGUGAAGUGGGAUCAGCCCAGCACCGAAUCCCNCGUNUGUUGGGCGGCGGNAACUGUGGUGUUUGGGACGUCGGNUGCGGCGCUUCGCGUUGUCCGAGUCCUCCUGAUCGGGGCUUCACCCAGAGCGGGUGUCAGGCCUCUACGGCAACGCGCUGCGUCGCUUUAGGCGCCCCUGGAGUCGGGUUGUUUGGGAAUGCAGCCCAAAGUGGGUGGUAAACUCCAUCUAAGGCUAAAUACUGACACGAGUCCGAUAGC